GGAAACUUACGCUAAUACCGCAUGCGCCCUUCGGGGGAAAGCCGAGGACCUUCGGGCCUGGCGCGAUUGGAUGAGCCAUGUCGGAUUAGCUAGUUGGCGGGUAAUGGCCCACCAAGGCGACGAUCCGUAGCUGGUCUGAGAGGAUGAUCAGCCACACUGGAACUGAGACACGGUCCAGACUCCUACGGGAGGCAGCAGUAGGGAAUAUUGGACAAUGGCGCAAGCCUGAUCCAGCCAUGCCGCGUGAGUGAAGAGGGCCCUCGGGUUGUAAAGCUCUUUUGUCCGGAAAGAAAAGCGCCGGGUUAAUACCCUGGUGUCCUGACGGUACCGGAACGAAUAACGCACCGGCUAACCUUCGGUG
rnacentral:rRNA from 1 species